rnacentral:rRNA from 1 species
CAGCAGUAGCCACGGUAAAACGUAGGUGGCAAGCGUUGUCCGGAAUUAUUGGGCGUAAAGGGCUCGCAGGCGGUUUCUUAAGUCUGAUGUGAAAGCCCCCGGCUCAACCGGGGAGGGUCAUUGGAAACUGGGAAACUUGAGUGCAGAAGAGGAGAGUGGAAUUCCACGUGUAGCGGUGAAAUGCGUAGAGAUGUGGAGGAACACCAGUGGCGAAGGCGACUCUCUGGUCUGUAACUGACGCUGAGGAGCGAAAGCGUGGGGAGCGAACAGGAUUAGAUACUCGGGUAGUCCCUGUCUCUUAUAC